rnacentral:rRNA from 1 species
AGCUUAUUGAAUUUAUAAUAAGUAUUUUCUGCCCGGUGAUUUUUUAACGGCCGCGGUAUAUUGACCGUGCAAAGGUAGCAUAAUCAUUUGUCUAUUAAUUGUAGACUGGAAUGAAUGGAUUUACGUGAAAAUACUUGUCUCUUUUCUUUUUUUUGAAUUUUCUUUUUAGAUGAAGAAGUCUAUAUUUUAUUAAGGGACGAGAAGACCCUAUUGAGUUUUAUUCUUUCUAUUUAAUUUUUAAUUUUCUUUAUUUAGAUUGGAUUUAGUUGGGGCAACUAAGGAGGAUAAAAAUUCUCUUUUAAAAAUUUUUGAUCCAGUAUUAUUGAUUUUAAGAAUUAAUUACCAUAGGGAUAACAGCGUUAUUUUCUUAGAGAGUUCUUAUCGAUAAGAAAGAUUGCGACCUCGAUGUUGGACUAAAAUAUCCUAAAGGUGUAGGUGCUUUUAAGGGUGGGUCUGUUCGACCUUUAAAAUUUU